AGACGUCUACAUUAGAUACCCCCGUAGUCCCAGCCGUAAACUAUGCGCGUUAGGUGUAUCGGUGACCACGAGUUACCGAGGUGCCGAAGGGAAACCGUGAAACGUGCCGCCUGGGAAGUACGGUCGCAAGGCUGAAACUUAAAGGAAUUGGCGGGGAGCACCACAACGGGUGGAGCCUGCGGUUUAAUUGGACUCAACGCCGGGAAGCUCACCGGAUAGGACAGCAGAAUGAUUGCCGGGCUGAAGACCCUGCAUGACUAGCUG
rnacentral:rRNA from 1 species